UUCUUUACCCAUUCAUCUUGUAAUGGACAUUUAGGUUGCUUCCAUGUCUUGGCUAUCGUAAAUAGUGCUGCUAUGUACAUUGGGGUGCCUGUAUCUCUUCGAAUUAACCUGGAUCACGGUUGCAUGAGUAUUUGCUUUAUAAAUAUUUACAACACAGACAUGUUUUAUAUACUCUUAUAUAGUAUGAAAUAUCUCACAAUCCAUUUUUUCAAUGGCAACAUUUUAAUUAAACCUAAUGAUUGGUGUUGUAAAAAAGCCCUGGUCAUCUAGGAAUUGGACACCAGCGUGUCUGGGAAGAAGCAGGAAACCAGGGGCUUUCACAAUAUGAAGGUCUUGAAAGAAAGGAUCUCUAAUUUCAUCUCCGAGCAGCCUCCCGCUGCGCUGCAAUAAUAUCUUGCCUAUCAACCAGCCCUUCCCGGGGGUUCUAGCAACUGCCAAUAUGCAUUGGAGUGAAUACAACUUGACCUGUUCCGAGGGACAAAGGUGAGAUAAUUAGGGUGCAUUCACAUUGCAGCAAAGGAACUUAGAUUAGAUUUGCUUUACCUGUUAGUUGUUUAAAUCAAUAGCACUGGCCACCAUUGCAAUAAAUCUGUCGAAUGUGUAUUGGCCUUACCACGUUUGUCAGUGCAAACCCCAGACCCUGAGGCCUCAUCUUCAUCUCCUUUUCCUGGCCCCUUAUUGGGAAGCUGAGUGAGUACAAGCAUCUGUUUGUAGGAAAUUUCAUUUGGAAUUCUCUUAAAAAACCAGAUCCCUAUAAAAACGGAACAAAGGGAGGUUUUAAGGGGAGGAGAGCUCAUGCAUAAUAAAUUAUCCUUCACUUUUGCUUUGUAAUUUCUUUUGGCCCUAAGCUCUAUUUUCAUGUCUGCUUUAAAUGAUGCAGAGAUUUGUCUGCCGAUGAGGGCUAUGGGGGCACUGGAGCGCGAGGCCCUUGAAAAAGCUGGACUCUCCCCUGUUCUUGGAGGAAGAGGCACUUUGGGAUGCUCCUACUAGAAAUUUGGAAGGAGGGCCUUCAGUGUACAUUUUGGGGAGGUAAAAUCCACGCAGCAGUGUCUUAAUUCAAGCAGUCUCUUCUAUUGAUAUAAAGGGUUUUACCAUUAUUUGAACAGGAUGGAUGUGUUUCUUUGAAAAGAGCACCAUGUAAGGGAAGGAAUAAAUACUGAGUAAGUAAAAUUUAAAUUCAUUCUAACAACAGACUUUAUCAGCUCUUUCCCUCCAGACACUGGCCAUGCCCCAUGUUACUCUGUAGCCCCAGUGCCUGGUGUGGUGCCUGGAGCUGCUGGUGGGCACUCACUGAAUCACAGUGAAUGAAUGAAUGAAUGAGGUGAACGUUGGGUCCAGCAUCCAGGCUUUGAUUAGUACUCUUCCCUGACCACACUUUCAGGAUCCCUGUAUCAAGAGACUUUCCCCCCAGCUUGUUAUUCUCUGAAUUUUGAAUGGAAAAGCAGUCACAGUUUUCUACUGCACCAAUCACUAAAGUCAUCAGUAACCUGAGGCUGAGUUUGUGGUAUUAAGAUCUUAAAGACUCAAGACUCUGUUUGUAUUUCAUUUCAUAUCUGAAAUGAAAAGUUAAGUUGUGCUAAUUCGUGUAGAAUAGCACAUCACAUAUCUUUCCCGUAAAAUGAGAUUAUCAAACGAAAUGUAAACAUAACGGAGGAGCUUAGACGGCCUAUCAAGGUAAUUUAAAGAGAUAUCCUGUACUAUUGGGCUCCAAAGCCUUGGAUCCCUUCCUUGAUGGUUGUCAAAGCCAAUUCCUAUGUCCUGAGAAUGAAAGAAAAGAAGCAUCUGUCCACAGAGGUCACUCAUCAUGUUUCCCAGCCAUAAGUUUCUGUGAUACAGAACCAUAAGAGUAGGAAUUUAAGCCAAUGUGUAGUUACUGAGAAAUAGUUUUUCUUUUUGUUAGGCUGUAUAUGAAGCUGAGGGAUUCUGAAACUGGUCUGCCUGCACUGGCACACAGGCACACAGGUCUGGAGGUCAAGCACAGAUGCCCUCCUUAGAAGCACAGAACAAGGGCCUGCUCAGGGUUGUCGCUCUUCUUGGGUUGCCCGAGAAGCUCCCUGGCCCCUCAAACAUCAAAGUGCCCAGGAAUCAAUACCUGUGCUCCCCCUCCCAUCAGACCAGGAGCCAAGAGCAUUAAAAAGAGGCUUCUAGCCCCCAGAGGGGCAGGAACACACAGAGUGAACACGACCAUGAAAGUGCGUUCCAAGCUCGAGUGAAGGGCUCCGGAGUGUCGGCUGGGGGAAUUCAUGGUUUUCUAGAGCUCCAGAGCCCUCGCCACGGCCGCCCGCAGGCCUUGAAGCAGCAGCGAGCCUCUCCCCCAGCCCCACCUAUGCGACCUGCUGGCGGUGGCGGCGGCGGUCUCCACGGGUCGCGGUCCACGGAGGCCUCAGCAGCUGGAGUAUAUGGACACUGCCAGUAAGGUAACAGCUUCAACCAGCUUCAGUCUCUCCAUUCACGUUUCAGAAAUUGGUCCAGCUUAGAUCAGUUGUCUACCCCUAGGGGGUGGCCAGGCGUCAGUGUUAAGUUGCAAGGACGUUACACGUCAUGACCUCAGGUUCACCUCUGUGUUUGGGGCUCUUCUCAAAGAAGGACAGUUGUCGUGAGCUGGGGAUUAACCUGAUUGGUAUUUGCUACAACACGUAUUUCUAUGGAUCCUAUACAAACGAUUCUCUCCAGUUUAAAUGAAAAGCUUGAGGGCCAGCCGGGCCCUGGGUGCCUGGCUCCCUCAGCAAUGAUGGCUGAGCAGGGUCUGGGGACCUGGCCCUGAGGGUGCCACCAGCUGAGAGCUGCCUCUUCAGCCGGCCUGGGCACUGGAGGGAAGACCCAGACUGGGUGCUGGACGAGCGCUCCGGGGCAGGGUCCCCGGCCCGACCUGAGACCCUCUCCUCUUAGCCAGGACCUGGACCUCGGAGGGGGAAAGUUGAGCCGUGGGACCUUGCCCUUUCUUGUCAGAACGGAGAAUAACAUUUGUUUUGGUGGAGGUUUACAGGAACAUCGUGACCUGACCGUGACCCGACCUCAAGAACAAAGGCUCUGAAACCAAGAAGUUAGCAACAACUUACCACACCCUUCCCUCACCUUUCCUAUAAAAGGGCUUUGCUGAAAGCUUUUGGGGAGUUGGGGGUUUUUAACGCAUGAGCCACUUGUCGCCUUGCAUGGCCCUGCAUUAAACCUUUCUCUGCUCCAAACUCUGACAGUUUGGUAUUGUUUGGCCUCCCCGUGCGUGGGGCAUAUGGACUUGUGUUUGAUAACAGCUGUUAGUAAUAUUGUUGCUACUUCAAUCUGGUCAUGCACAUUGUUGGUACUCUAUGCAUAGGAUUUUAUUUGCUACUUAAAAUGUCUUUAGAGAGAUUCUAUGGUGAUUCGGCAUUGAAACAAAAAGUUAUGUACACAAAAAGUCACGGGAACCAAGAAGCAAAUAUUCAUUCUUGGAAGAAUGACCGCAAUUCCGUAUUUUCUUAUAAACAACCAGCAGUGUUUUGACACCUUAAGAAAGGAAGAUACCUUGAAGUAGAUGUAGCCAUAUCAUGUUUUAUUAGCGAGCUGUACUUGCAAAUGGAUUGCCUAUCACAUGCCAAGGAUUUUGACCAGAGGCUGAAGACAUCGCUUAAAACUUCUGAAUUACACAAAGAAACCUGAGCAGUGUGGCCUAAAAUUAAGGCCUUGACUUGGCUGGCAAGUCUUCUCAUUUAGUGACACACUACCUAAUGGUGUGUCUUAAAAUUCUUGCUGCCUUCGAUGAAAUGUGAUGCUUUGAGUGUAAGAAGUGUUGUGCAGGAGAAUAACACAGGAAGGUGCCAUUGUAAAUGGCAUGGAUUCGGAAGUGCUCGCUGAGAAGGUGACAUUGGAGCCAAGACCUAGAGGAGGUCAAGGAAAAGCCAUGCUUCCUUUCAGGGGAAGAGUGUUUGGAGAAGAAUGACUAAAAAAAUAAAGACUUAAGGGCAUACUCCAGCCAAAUACAAAAUAACUUAAAGCUCUCGCUGGGGGAUGUACGUUCCAGGAAGACAAGAGACUGUGAGCUUGUGGCUGUUCGAUCUCCCUGCAGGUCAAUAUUUGUGGAUUAAGUGAAUGAACUCAGAAAAGGGAAAGGAACGCUAUAGUGAGUGAUGAAACAUUAGCACUUAAAGUUACAUUUAAAUAAUUGCUGUUAAUGUAGUCAUGAGGUUUAAUACUGUUAUGGUCUGAAUGUUUGUGUUCCCCCCAAAUUCAUAUGUUGGAAUCCUAACCCCCAAGGUGAUGGUAUUAGGAGGUGGGGUCUUUGGGGGUGAUUAGGUCAUGAGGGUGGAGCCCUCAUGAAUGGGAUUAGUGUGCUUAUAAAAGAGACCCCACAGAGCUCCCUAGCUUCUUCCGCCAUGUGAGGAUAAAAGAAGACCGUGACCCAGAAGAGGGCCUUCAUCUGCUCAUGCUGGCUCCCUGAUCUUGGACUUUCAGCUUCCAGAACUGUGAGAAAUAAAUUUCUGUUGUUUAUCUCUCUUGCCACCCAGUCUGUGGCAUCUUGUUCCAGCAGACCCAACAGACUAAGACAAACACAUUUUUAAAGGAUUUAAAAAACUAAACAGUGUAUGUCCCUAGAGAACUGCAAAUUAAAACAACAGCUAGAUACCAUUAUACACCAUUAGAAUGGCAAAAAUGCCAGAUACUGAGGAUCCCACUUGCUGAUGAUCAUGUGGAGCAGAAGAAACUCUCGUCCGUCGCUGGUUGGAAUGCAAAACGGUGCGGCCGCUUUGGAAGUUGGGCAGUUUCUUACAAAACUAAACAUGAUCUUACCAUGCAGUCUAGCAGUUGCACUCCUUGGUAUUUAUCCAGAUGAAUUGAAAUUUUAUGUCCACACAUCCUCAGGAAAACCUGCACAUGGAUGUUUAUGGCAGCUUUAUUUAUAAUUGCCAAAACUUGGAGGUAACCAAGAUGCCCUUCAGUAGGUGAAUGGAGAAUAAA